rnacentral:rRNA from 1 species
AUGCACGCUGGCGGCGUGCCUAAUACCUGCAAGUCGAGCGAACGGACGAGAAGCUUGCUUCUCUGAUGUUAGCGGCGGACGGGUGAGUAACACGUGGAUAACCUACCUAUAAGACUGGGAUAACUUCGGGAAACCGGAGCUAAUACCGGAUAAUAUUUUGAACCGCAUGGUUCAAAAGUGAAAGACGGUCUUGCUGUCACUUAUAGAUGGAUCCGCGCUGCAUUAGCUAGUUGGUAAGGUAACGGCUUACCAAGGCAACGAUGCAUAGCCGACCUGAGAGGGUGAUCGGCCACACUGGAACUGAGACACGGUCCAGACUCCUACGGGAGGCAGCAGUAGGCAAUCUUCCGCAAUGGGCGAAAGCCUGACGGAGCAACGCCGCGUGAGUGAUGAAGGUCUUCGGAUCGUAAAACUCUGUUAUUAGGGAAGAACAUAUGUGUAAGUAACUGUGCACAUCUUGACGGUACCUAAUCAGAAAGCCACGGCUAACUACGUG